UACGUAGGGGGCAAGCGUUGUCCGGAAUCAUUGGGCGUAAAGCGCGCGUAGGCGGCCCGGUAAGUCCGCUGUGAAAGUCCAGGGCUCCACCCUGGAAAGCCGGUGGAUACUGCCGGGCUAGAGUCCGGAAGAGGCGAGUGGAAUUCCUGGUGUAGCGGUGGAAUGCGCAGAUAUCAGGAGGAACACCAAUAGCGAAGGCAGCUCGCUGGGACGGUACUGACGCUGAGGUGCGAAAGCGUGGGGAGCAAACAGG
rnacentral:rRNA from 1 species